UGAGAUAUUAGUGUGGUGGCAGCUCAUAGAGAACUUCUACAGGUAACACACCUGAGAUAUUAGUGUGGUGGCAGCUCAUAGAGAACUUCUACAGGUAACACACCUGAGAUAUUAGUGUGGUGGCAGCUCAUAGAGAACUUCUACAGGUAACACACCUGAGAUAUUAGUGUGGUGGCAGCUCAGAGAACUUCUACAGGUAACACACCUGAGAUAUUAGUGUGGUGGCAGCUCAGAGAACUUCUACAGGUAACACACCUGAGAUAUUAGUGUGGUGGCAGCUCAUAGAGAACUUCUACAGGUAACACACCUGAGAUAUUAGUGUGGUGGCAGCUCAGAGAACUUCUACAGGUAACACACCUGAGAUAUUAGUGUGGUGGCAGCUCAGAGAACUUCUACAGGUAACACACCUGAGAUAUUAGUGUGGUGGCAGCUCAUAGAGAACUUCUACAGGUAACACACCUGAGAUAUUAGUGUGGUGGCAGCUCACAGAGAACUUCUACAGGUAACACACCUGAGAUAUUAGUGUGGUGGCAGCUCAGAGAACUUCUACAGGUAACACACCUGAGAUAUUAGUGUGGUGGCAGCUCAUAGAGAACUUCUACAGGUAACACACCUGAGAUAUUAGUGUGGUGGCAGC